UACGUAGGGUGCGAGCGUUGUCCGGAAUUAUUGGGCGUAAAGAGCUUGUAGGCGGUCUGUCGCGUCUGCUGUGAAAACUCGAGGCUCAACUUCGAGCUGUCGGUGGAAACUUUCUGGCUAGAGUCCGGAAGAGGAGAGUGGAAUUCCUGGUGUAGCGGUGAAAUGCGCAGAUAUCAGGAAGAACACCAAUGGCGAAAGCAGCUCUCUGGGGACGGUAC
rnacentral:rRNA from 1 species